GUCCCUGUUGCACAAUGGUUAGCGCGUUGGGCUUCUAAUCCAAAGGUCGUAGAUUCAAAUCCUACCUGGGGUG